rnacentral:rRNA from 1 species
AUUGAACGCUGGCGGCAGGCUUAACACAUGCAAGUCGAGCGGAGAGAGGUAGCUUGCUACUGAUCUUAGCGGCGGACGGGUGAGUAAUGCUUAGGAAUCUGCCUAUUAGUGGGGGACAACAUUUCGAAAGGAAUGCUAAUACCGCAUACGUCCUACGGGAGAAAGCAGGGGAUCUUCGGACCUUGCGCUAAUAGAUGAGCCUAAGUCGGAUUAGCUAGUUGGUGGGGUAAAGGCCUACCAAGGCGACGAUCUGUAGCGGGUCUGAGAGGAUGAUCCGCCACACUGGGACUGAGAGACGGCCCAGACUCCUACGGGAGGCAGCAGUGGGGAAUAUUGGACAAUGGGCGCAAGCCUGAUCCAGCCAUGCCGCGUGUGUGAAGAAGGCCUUAUGGUUGUAAAGCACUUUAAGCGAGGAGGAGGCUACUUUAGAUAAUACCUAGAGAUAGUGGACGUUACUCGCAGAAUAAGCACCGGCUAACUCUGUGCCAGCCGCCGCCGUAACAC